rnacentral:rRNA from 1 species
UACGUAGGUGGCAAGCGUUGUCCGGAUUUACUGGGCGUAAAGAGCGCGCAGGCGGUUGAUUAAGUCGAAUGUGAAAGCCCCCGGCUCAACUGGGGAGGGUCAUUCGAUACUGAUCAACUUGAAGGCAGGAGAGGGUAGUGGAAUUCCCGGUGUAGUGGUGAAAUGCGUAGAGAUCGGGAGGAACACCAGUGGCGAAGGCGACUACCUGGCCUGUUCUUGACGCUGAGGCGCGAAAGCUAGGGGAGCAAACGGG